UAAAUAUUAGUCGUUUAAGAAGAGUAAAAGCAAUGCAGUAUUAAGAGAGUUUUCGGGUGGUGGAAGAAAAUUACAAGUUGCUUUGAAGAUGGUCUUAAAAAAUACAACAAGUGUGAGGAAAAAAACUAAGCGCUUGUCGGCUGAUAUCCGUUAUCAAGUAUCGAAGUUUAUUAUGAACUUCCUGAGGCUAUUCAUGUGAGUGGAUAGUAAAUUAAGGUGGCACCACGAAAAUACUCGUCCUUAUU
rnacentral:ncRNA from 1 species